AAGGAGCAAGGGUUAUUUUUGUAUGUGGCAUUAGAGUAUAUUCUUUGUAUUUUUCACAGGGAAUCAGAGACAUUAGAAUUUCCCAACUGUCAACUUAGAAGUUUUCUUAUUUAGACUUUAGGUUUGGUUCCUGUAUUAACUAGAUAUGCAAUUUUGGCAAGUCUUGUCACCUCUCAGAGUUAAAGUUUGCUCUUCAAGAAGAUAUGGGAGUUGGAUCAAGUCAUCUAGAAGGUUAUCUGCAGGACUUCUUCUCUAAGAUUAUAGUACUAGAGAGUUAAGAUUGGGGUGAAGAUAACUCUCUAAAUAAAGAAGCCUGUGCUGAAGGAAAAUUAACCAGAGAAGAGUGCUGGAGAUGAGCAAUUCAAGUGGGUUAAAUGAUGGCCAAAGGUGUUAAAUCCUAAUCCCUGGAACUUAUAAAUAUUACCUUAUUUGGAAAAAGAAUCUUGUGGAUAUAAAUAAGCUAAGGAUCUUGAACUGAGAAGACUGUCCUGUAUUGUUUGGGUAGGUCCUAAAUGUCAUCAUGAGUGUCCUUAUAGGAGAGUAGCACAGGAAGAUAAUGGACACACAGGGGAAACUUUGAUAUAAAGAUGGAGGCAGAGAUGGAGGUGUGAUGAAGCCACAAGCCCAGGAAUGCCAGGUCAGUCAUCAGAAAAUGAAGAGACAAGGAACGGAUUCUCCCCUAUGGCCUCCAGAGGGAGUAUGCACCUGCCAGAUUUGGGACUUCUAGUCUCCAAAACUGUAAAGAGAACAAAUUUCUAUUGUUUAAGCCACCAAGCUUGUGGUAAUUUAUUAUAGAAGGCAUGAGAAACCAAAACACCGUCCUAAGGACUUUUAUUUCUUUUUCUUGCUGUCUUGCGCUGGGUAAGACUUCCAAGACAAUGUUAACAGUAGUAUAACAGCAGGUAUCUUUGUUUUGUCUCUCAAUGAUAAAACUUUAAAUAUUGUAGCAUUAAUUAUGAUGUUAGUGUAAUAACAGGUAUCUUUGUCUUGUCUCUCAAUUAUAAAAUUUUAAAUACUUUAGCAUUGAUUAUGAUGUUAGCUGAAAGAUUUUUGUAAGAAACCUGUUAAUUAAAUUAGGGAAAUUAUUGCCUAUUUUUGGUUUGUGAAGAAUUUUGAGGGGAACCGAUGUUAAAUUUGAUCAAAAGAUUUCCCUGUAAUUAUUGACAUUUUUUUCCAUUAUUCCAUUUAUGUGAUAA